rnacentral:rRNA from 1 species
UACAGAGGGGGCAAGCGUUAUUCGGAAUUAUUGGGCGUAAAGGGCGCGUAGGCGGCUUGGCAAGUGGAAGGUGAAAUCCCUCGGCUUAACCGAGGAACUGCCCUCCAAACUGCUUUGCUUGAGGCCGGGAGAGGUAAGUGGAAUUCCCAGUGUAGCGGUGAAAUGCGUAGAUAUUGGGAGGAACACCAGUGGCGAAGGCGACUUCCUGGCCUGUUCUUGACGCUGAGGCGCGAAAGCUAGGGGAGCAAACGGG